rnacentral:rRNA from 1 species
UACGUAGGAUGCAAGCGUUGUCCGGAAUUAUUGGGCGUAAAGAGCGAGCAGGCGGUUUGGAAAGUUGGACGUGAAAUUUUAGGGCUUAACCCUAAAGGGUCGUCCAAAACUCCCAGACUAGAGUGCAGGAGAGGAAAGCGGAAUUCCCGGUGUAGUGGUGAAAUGCGUAGAUAUCGUGAGGAACACCAGAGGCGAAGGCGGCUACCUGGACAAUUGCUGACGCUCAGGCACGAAAGCGUGGGGAGCAAAAGGG